CUUCACCGGAAGCUACUUUAGCACUGAAGGCCUUUAUAGGAUUUGGCUAUUAAUGACCUAGGUUUCUCUUAAGUACACACUACUUCAUCAGGAAGGCAACUUCAUUCAUUAGAGGCAGAAAAUGUCCUGCUAUUGUGCUAUUCAAUGGAUCUGCUAAAAUCAUUGUCCCAGCAGAGAAAGCAGAGUAUAUUGUAGAAAGGGGAGAGAAAAGAAACUCAAAUAUCUCACAAAGGGAUAUUAAGUCAAGCUGUUUCAGGGGAGAAGAGAAAGAAUGAGAAUUUAAUUGGUAGAUGCACAUUUUCAUUCCUGUGUCCAUUUUGUCUGCAUUAAUAAUUUGCUGGUGAAAAUAGGAGGAACCUACUUGUCUGGACAGGCUUAAACAGCUGCUACUGGGAAGACAGCAUACCAUGCUCUGUUCAGAUCCUGAAAUUUUGCUUUGGAAAACAGAAUGAUGACCAGAUCCUCACCUGUCCUUGAGCUUGUCUAGCAGAGCAAAUCAAUUGGAAAAGCACAUUAACUUCUACUGAGAAACACUGCAAUGUCCUAAAGCAGAGGAGUUAGAUACUCUCUCUUUGUGUUGUAUCCAGCAUCUGUCCUCUACAGAUAUAUAAAUUGUUAAUGAGACAAAAAUAUACAUAUGAUUUGAUAUAAUUUGGCUCAUUUCAGUCUUUAAUUUUUACUAUCUCAAACUUCAGUUCUUUAAAAUAACUGUAGACAAAUAUUUCUGAGGUAUCACCUUUUCUCUUUUUUCUUUUUCCCACCACAUAGAGCUUGUGGUCAAGCAUUCACACAUCUCUAAUCUUGUGGUAAAGCAUUCCAACUUCUCUAAUUUUGUGGUAAGACCCUAUGAGAAGCAAACAAUGCAUCUAAAAAUGUCUCUAUGUGA